UACGAGGGGUGCAAGCGUUGCUCGGAAUUAUUGGGCGUAAAGGGUAGGUAGGUGGUCUUAUUUGUCAAAGGUGAAAUCCCUGGGCUUAACCCAGGACGUGCCUUUGAAACGGUGAGACUGGAAUACUGGAGAGGGUCGCAGAAUUCCCGGUGUAGCGGUGAAAUGCGUAGAGAUCGGGAGGAAUACCAGAGGCGAAGGCGGCGACCUGGACAGUGAUUGACGCUAAACUACGAAAGCGUGGGGAGCAAACAGG
rnacentral:rRNA from 1 species